UUAAAUAGUAAUUAUCUCCUUGUAGAUUUUCCAAAAUAGAAAUCAUUCCAAAAACUAAAUUUACAACAUUUGAACUAAGGGUCGUCUGCACUCGUGCUGUAGUACUGUCCCAAUUGACCGCAGUACUUUUUACAUCUGCUUGUUGUCUUAUCCUAUUUGUCGAACCACUCUGGCACCGAGGAUAAACAAAGAGCUCUGUUUUUCAAGGGGAACCAAAAUGUAUAUAUCUUUCAUUGGUGUCAUUUAACCCCCAGAUUAACUUUGAUACAGCAGAAAUAUUAUUCGGGGCAUCCUAGCCGUGAUCAUCCCGUCUGCAUUUUAUCCAUGGCUUAUCGAGGAUUACCGCAAUAUGGCGUGAUUUGAUUUAGACUUGUGCAGCAGCUGUCUCUGCAAUAUCUUACAAUAGAAUGCGAAAGUAUCGCGCGCACACAAACUGAAACUUAUUCACACACACACACACACACACACAUUAGUGAAGCAUUGAAAAAUGAUUUACUUGGCUGUGUGUUGUUUUCUGACCGUUUUUGUUUGUUUUUAAUUAUUUAGCCCUUGGCCCAAAGACAUUGAAGCUGGUUUUCUUGAAAUUAUCUUCGCUUCCAUAUAUGGAGCGCAUCAAUUUUUGUUCUUUGAUCUCC